UGCCGGAUGGUGUAACGGUAGCACAGCAGUCUCUGGAACUGUUUGUCUAGGUUCGAAUCCUAGUCCGGCAGCCA
rnacentral:tRNA from 1 species